rnacentral:rRNA from 1 species
GACGAACGCUGGCGGCGUGCUUAACACAUGCAAGUCGAACGGUGAAGCUCCAGCUUGCUGGAGUGGAUCAGUGGCGAACGGGUGAGUAACACGUGAGCAACCUGCCCCUGACUCUGGAAUAAGCGCUGGAAACGGCGUCUAAUACUGGAUACGAGAAGGGUCCGCAUGGGCACUUUCUGGAAAGUUUUUCGAUUGGGGAUGGGCUCGCGGCCUAUCAGCUUGUUGGUGAGGUAAUGGCUCACCAAGGCGACGACGGGUAGCCGGCCUGAGAGGGCGACCGGCCACACUGGGACUGAGACACGGCCCAGACUCCUACGGGAGGCAGCAGUGGGGAAUAUUGCACAAUGGGCGAAAGCCUGAUGCAGCGACGCCGCGUGAGGGAUGACGGCCUUCGGGUUGUAAACCUCUUUCAGCAGGGAAGAAGCGAAAGUGACGGUACCUGCAGAAGAAGCACCGGCUAACUACGUG